rnacentral:rRNA from 1 species
UGGCGAACUGGUGAGUAACACGUGGGUGAUCUGCCUUGCACUCUGGGAUAAGCUUGGGAAACUGGGUCUAAUACCGGAUAGGAACCGUCUUUAGUGUGGUGGUUGGAAAGUUUUUUCGGUGCAAGAUGAGCUCGCGGCCUAUCAGCUUGUUGGUGGGGUAAUGGCCUACCAAGGCGUCGACGGGUAGCCGGCCUGAGAGGGUGUACGGCCACAUUGGGACUGAGAUACGGCCCAG